rnacentral:tRNA from 2 species
GAAUCCUUAGCUCAGCUGGUAGAGCACCGGUCUUUUAAACCGGGGGUCGUGGGAUUGAAGCCCACAGGGUUCA